UACAGAGGGUGCGAGCGUUGUUCGGAAUUACUGGGCGUAAAGCGCGCGCAGGCGGCUCUUUAAGUCUGACGGUGAAAUGCCGGGGCUCAACCCCGUGCCCGCCGCGGAUACUGGAGGGCUGGAGACACGUAGAGGCAAGCGGAAUUCCGGGUGUAGCGGUGGAAUGCGUAGAGAUCCGGAAGAACACCGGAGGCGAAGGCGGCUUGCUGGGCGUAGUCUGACGCUGAGGCACGAAAGCGUGGGUAUCAAACAGG
rnacentral:rRNA from 1 species